GUGGGGAAUAUUGGACAAUGGGCGAAAGCCUGAUCCAGCAAUGCCGCGUGAGUGAUGAAGGCCUUAGGGUUGUAAAGCUCUUUUACCCGGGAUGAUAAUGACAGUACCGGGAGAAUAAGCUCCGGCUAACUCCGUGCCAGCAGCCGCGGUAAUACGGAGGGAGCUAGCGUUGUUCGGAAUUACUGGGCGUAAAGCGCACGUAGGCGGCUUAGUAAGUCAGGGGUGAAAUCCCGGGGCUCAACCCCGGAACUGCCCUUGAAACUGCUAGGCUAGAAUCUUGGAGAGGCGAGUGGAAUUCCGAGUGUAGAGGUGAAAUUCGUAGAUAUUCGGAAGAACACCAGUGGCGAAGGCGACUCGCUGGACAAGUAUUGACGCUGAGGUGCGAAAGCGUGGGGAGCAAACAGGAUUAGAUACCCGAGUAGUCC
rnacentral:rRNA from 1 species